CUGGGUUCAACCCAAUUCUGCGUCAGCCUCCCGAGUAGCUGGGACUAUAGGCGUGAGCCACCGCGCCCGGCCUUGUUUCCCUUCAUCUUAAAAGGCAGAACGGCCUCUCUUUGGGGUGACCGGAGGCAAAGAGCUGUUGGGAGUGUUUUGUGGGGUCUCUUCUUCCUUCCUUGUGGCUACAUGAAGCCUGAGUCUCAGCCUCUGGUUUCUUGGUUUCUUUCCACUGCCCUGGGCAAACCAGCUUCGACUGAACGUCAGCCAGUCCAGAGAGUAAUUAAAAGAGUUAAGUCUCAAAAGUAAAUCUCCGGGAAGAGCCCUCAGUGGUUUCAGACCCCCAGGCACUUGUCCUCGUGCCCUCCCUGAGGCGUCCUGUCCUACUGGACAUGCUGGAGCCUGCCCGUGUCCUUGUGGACCAUGGAAUUUGCCCGGGGUUGGGGGGCAGGGGUGGAGAGAAAUAAAACUUCCUGUGAUCUAUGUAUCGGCCCAGUACAUAGAUCCUGGAUAGAGGCGAUUGAGCUAAGCAUGGGACCAAGCAUUUCUGUGCAGUGCCUGCAGAAUUGAGUUUCCUUCUGGCUAUGGGAGAUUCUUCUGAGCUGUCUCAGUUGUCUGACAUCUGGCAUCUGCCAUGGGCCAGGACGUCUGGGGCAGGGGCAGAAGAGGACAGGAGGAGACUGCCCUAGAGGAUUCUGGGAAAACGGGAAAACAGCAAAACAGAGCUACCCACCAAUCUCAGGCUGAUGCAUUAUUAAUAAAAGUGACUGUUGACUGAGUUUGUAGACAUAAUAUGUUUGAGGUACCUGGCCUAGUAAGCACCAUACAAGUGCUAUUAUUUCUAAAUGAUUUUAUCAAGAUAAAAGACACCAGCCAGGCAUAGUGGCUGCCGCCUAUAAUCCCUUUGGGAGGUCGAGGCAGGAGGAUCUCUUGAGAUCGUAAGUUGGAGACCAACCUGGGCAACAUAGCGAGUCCCCAUCUAUGCAAAAAAUUUAAAAAUUAGCUGGGCAUGGUGGUGCACACGUGUAGUCCUAGCUCCUCAGGAGGCCAAGGCAGGACAAUCCCUUGAGUCCAGGAGGUCAAGGCUGCAGUGUGCUGUGAUCACACCACUGCACUCCAGCCUGGGCGACACAAGGAGACCCUGGAUCUAAAAGUAAAAAUGAAAAAAAAAAGAAAUGAAGCAGCAGGGCGUGAUGACUCACCUUUAAUCCCAAAGCUUUGGGAGGGAAGAUGGGAGGACUGCUUGAGCUCAG
rnacentral:lncRNA from 10 species